rnacentral:precursor_RNA from 13 species
AGGGUACAAUACAAUAAGCUCCUUAUGGGCAGGGAACAUGUCUGCUAAUUGUUCGAUACAGCACAAUUAGCGGAGAUGUUCCCUGCCUAUAAUGAGUUUAUGGUCUAGUGGGGGAG